rnacentral:tRNA from 1 species
GUUUUAAUAAUUUAAAUAAAAUAUUGGUCUUGUAAACCAAAAAUAAGGAAGCUUUUAAAACA